AUAUAUAUAUAUAUAUAUAUAUAUAUAUAUAUAUAUAUAUAUAUAUAUAUAUUCUGUUAUGUUUAGCAAUAUAGAGAACAGAGAAACGGAGAAAAAGAAACGGAGGGCAGAAUAGAGAAGGAGAAAUAUGAAAUAGGAAGAGAGGGAGAGCGAGAAGCAAGUACAGCAUAGCAGAAGAGCGGAAGCAUGCUGUGUUUGUUACCGUAAACUUCAUAUAAAUUCUAAGCUAUUCUUUCCUAUUUAACUUCUCCCAUUUCCUUUCCUUUCUGAGAGUUGCAUUUAACAGACAAUGUAGUUAAUGAGUUGUUUUCUCUCACAGUGUAGUCAGUUUUCACCCAGCCCUCCAAAUAACCCCAUAAUAAUUUUUUGAAACAUAAUAGUCUUUUUAGACCUAGACUCGGUGGAUGGGAGAGACAGGCGUGGUCGAGCUUUCAUCUCUCAGCUUUCCACUUUUCCCUUCCCUCCCUAUUUCCCAUCAUGUGGCUGGUUCGGUUGGCCAACGAACAUUUCCGCGAUUCAGUAGAAACCGAGAUCUGAAAACAGCUGGAUGUAUUGUACAGAGAGGCGUUUUAAAUCAUAAAUAGGAAGGGCAUAUUGAAUUUAUACCUAUCGGUGGGAUAACCUUGUGACGCCUUAUUAUAUUGCAUACUAUUUAGGCCCUAACAGAGACUGUGAUCUGUGUGAAUCCACAUAUUGUGUGAAUGGCGUGUGUGUGUGUGUGUGUGUUCCCUGCUCCUUUUGUGUGGAGAGUGACUGCACAUAGUCCUGCAUUGUCUGGCUCUCUCUUAAAGUUGUGUCUAGAUUUUGAUGGGAGCAGACACCUGUUCUCUCCCCCUUUCUGCCUAAGUGUAGUGUAUUAAUGUGAGGAGUUAGGUGGAGCUAGACGCAUCGUGAUGUUCAGCUGCUUAGCGUGGAGUUUGAUGGGAAGUGUUUGUUUUGGAACGAGAGGGAUUUUGGCGUGGAACACGGACACUUGAGGCGUUGUUUUAGAGGUCUGGAUUGUGUGGCUUUGUCAGCAUAGCAGGAGUUUCACGGUGAUGCUUAAGGACCGUAGCCGCAGCCGUCUUCACCAGUGUGUGCCUGUCUACUGGAGGAGUGGUGUAGUGUGUGGCCAUCCUGAGCCCUAUCAGUCUGUGGUGACAAGAGGGAGACGCCUGUCAUCACUCAGCAGGGGACCAGAAGCGUUCGUGUGAACGAGGGUUACCCGUGGUGUCCCUCAACUGGAAAUUUUGAGGUGUAUCCUUUUAGUUAUUUUUUUUCUUGUGAGUUUACACGAGUUGUGUAUUGAUUAAUAUUGAUAUCCAUUAAAGUGUUAUUUGUAUA